rnacentral:sRNA from 1 species
GAUGCAAAUAUAUUGUUCGGCAAUACACCUUCACAUAAAUUCUACCAGAUAACUACAACGGAUUCCACCACCCCAAAAAUGGAGCGAAUGCAUAUGGGAUGGAUACUAAUUGCGCACAACGCUUGAGCAGCAAGCUCCACGGGUGGCCUUAUAGUUAAUCAAGAUUUAUCUACUUUGAUCUCAUCGUUUCUGGUAAGUACAAUUUCCACGAAAAGACCUGUUGAGAAGUGUAAUUGCAAUCUGCGAACUUUGAUUCUGAACAUGAAAUUAUCAAAUUUUGUUCGAGGUGUAAAACCACUCAUUGUUGGUGAGUCCACAUCAUAUCGCUCCAAGCUUCAACUAACUGAGAGCUUCUCCGAGGCUAGACCGUUUCGAAAAUCCAAACAAACAAC